CGCGGGAUAGAGCAGUUUGGUAGCUCGUCGGGCUCAUAACCCGAAGGUCGUUGGUUCAAAUCCGGCUCCCGCAA
rnacentral:tRNA from 1 species